AUCGCCUUCGGGUGUAGUUUGUUGACUCUGAAUACCUAGUUUAUCGGUGGUUUAUCCACUGAAGUCCGGAAUUUUGUGUCUGCCCUAUCAACUAGAUGAUAGUCUAUUAGUCUAUCAUGGUUGUAACGGGUAACGGAGAAUCAGGGUUCGACUCCGGAGAGGGAGCCUUAGAAACGGCUACCACAUCCAAGGAAGGCAGCAGGCGCGUAACUUAUCCACUACUGUUUGUGAGAUAGGGACAGAACAUAAAAAGACUCAUCUUUCUAGAUGGGUUAUUUCAAUGAGUUGAACUUAAAUAG
rnacentral:rRNA from 1 species